UAUGGGGCUCUGAAAGCUGGACUUCAUUUUGAGGACACAGCGCUGGAACACGGACUAAGGCGAUUCUAACAAUACAGAUAAAGACCACAGAAUGAAUGAAGUUUGCAGGAGUCGGCGAUGGUAGUACGGUGGUGCGCGGCAGUGAGCUCCAGGUCAUAAAAACGGAGCUGACGCAGAUCAAGGACAACAUCGAGGCUCUGCUGGGACGCCUGGACACUCUGGAGGACCACACUGCAGUAACAGAUACAAGGAAAGGGGAGGGGCCUCUGUCGGAAGGGGCGUGGCCUGAGGAGGAAGAGGAGGAGUCGGAAUCAGAGCUCGUGGAUGUGAGACAAAACAGUGAAGAGGAGGAAGAAGACGAAGUGGAGAUGGAUCAAGCAGACAACACGCAGCAGCACAACAGAGAAACAACAUGGUACACCACACGACUCCAUGAUUU
rnacentral:lncRNA from 1 species